GGCCGGUUAGCUUAGUCAGUUGAGCGUGGCGUUAACAACGCCAAGGUUGUGGGUUCGAUUCCUGCUUGGUCCC
rnacentral:tRNA from 1 species